rnacentral:rRNA from 1 species
GACGGCCCGCACAAGCAGCGGAGCGUGUGGUUUAAUUCGAUGUUACACGAAGAACCUUACCAGGGUUUGACAUGCAAGUGGUAGGAAGCCGAAAGGUGACCGACCCUUCGGGGAGCUUGCACAGGUGCUGCAUGGCUGUCGUCAGCUCGUGUCGUGAGAUGUUCGGUUAAGUCCGCUAACGAGCGCAACCCUCGCUGUGUGUUAUAUGUGUCACACGGGACUGCCGGUCUUAAGCCGGAGGAAGGUGGGGAUGAUGUCAAGUCAGCAUGGCCUUUAUAUCCUGGGCUACACACACGCUACAAUGGCCAACACAAUAGGUUGCUAAGCCGCGAGGUGGCGCCAAUCCAUAAAGUUGGUCUCAGUUCAGAUUGUAGGCUGCAACCCGCCUGCAUGAAGAUGGAGUUGCUAGUAACCGCAGGUCAGCUAUACUGCGGUGAAUACGUUCCCGGGGCUU